GGUCACUGCUAUUGGGGUUCGGCUAAGCCAUGCGAGCGGAGGGCGCGGUCGCAAGAUCGUGGCCCCGCACACGGCUCAGUAACACGUAGUCAACCUACCCUUGGGACGGGGACAACGCCGGGAAACUGGCGAUAUCCCCGAUAGGUGAGGGAUGCUGGGAUGCUUCUUCGCUCAAAGCUCCGGCGCCCGAGGAUGGGACUGCGGCCUAUCAGGCUGUUGGUGGUGUGACGGACCACCAAACCUACGACGGGUACGGGCGAUGGGAGUCGGAGCCUGGAGAUGGGGACUGAGACAAGGCCCCAGGCCCUACGGGGCGCAGCAGGCGCGAAAACUCCGCAAUGCGCGCAAGCGUGACGGGGGAACCCCAAGUGCCGUUGGCUUUUGAUCGACGGCUUUUCGGAAGUCCAAUAAGCUUCCGGAAUAAGGGCUGGGUAAGACUGGUGCCAGCCGCCGCGGUAACAGCAGCAGCCCAAGUGGUGGCCGCGAUAUUGGGCCUAAAGCGCUCGUAGCCGGAUCAGCAAGUCCUUUGUGAAAUCGGACCGCCCAACGGUUCGGCGUGCAAAGGAUACUGUUGGUCUUGAGACCGGGAGAGGUCGGAGGUACUCUUGGGGUAGCGGUGAAAUGCUGUAAUCCUGGGGGGACCACCAGUGGCGAAGGCGUCCGACCAGAACGGAUCUGACGGUGAGGGGCGAAGGCUAGGGGAGCGAACGGGAUUAGAUACCCCGGUAGUCCUAGCUGUAAAGCAUGCGGGCCAGGUGUCUAGCGCUCCUUGAGGGCGCUAUGUGCCGGAGGGAAGCCGUUAAGCCCGCCGCCUGGGAAGUACGGCCGCAAGGCUGAAACUUAAAGAAAUUGGCGGGGGAGCACCACAAGGGGUGGAACCUGCGGUUCA
rnacentral:rRNA from 1 species